rnacentral:rRNA from 1 species
AAUCAACGCUGGCGGCGUGCCUAACACAUGCAAGUCGAGCGCGAAAGGGGGCAACCCCGAGUAGAGCGGCGAACGGGUGAGUAACGCGUGGGUAAUCUACCUUCGAGUGGGGGAACAACACCGGGAAACUGGUGCUAAUACCGCAUGACAUCCUCGGGCUUCCUGGCCUGGGGAUCAAAGCCGGGGACCGCAAGGCCUGGCGCUUGAAGACGAGCCCGCGUCCGAUUAGCUAGUUGGCGGGGUAACGGUCCACCAAGGCGACGAUCGGUAGCCGGCCUGGGAGGGCGGACGGCCACACUGGGACUGGGACACGGCCCAGACUCCUACGGGAGGCAGCAGUGGGGAAUUUUUCGCAAUGGGGGAAACCCUGACGAAGCAACGCCGCGUGGGGGAUGAAGGUCCUCGGAUUGUAAACCCCUGUCGACCGGGACGAAAACUGUUGGACCCAAUACGUCCGGCAGUCGACUGUACCGGUGGAGGAAGCCACGGCUAACUCUGUGCCAGCCGCCGCCGUAACAC